rnacentral:rRNA from 1 species
AUUGAACGCUGGCGGCAGGCCUAACACAUGCAAGUCGAACGGUAACAGGAAGCAGCUUGCUGCUUUGCUGACGAGUGGCGGACGGGUGAGUAAUGUCUGGGAAACUGCCUGAUGGAGGGGGAUAACUACUGGAAACGGUACCUAAUACCGCAUAACGUCGCAAGACCAAAGAGGGGGACCUUAGGGCCUCUUGCCAUCGGAUGUGCCCAGAUGGGAUUAGCUAGUAGGUGGGGUAACGGCUCACCUAGGCGACGAUCCCUAGCUGGUCUGAGAGGAUGACCAGCCACACUGGAACUGAGACACGGUCCAGACUCCUACGGGAGGCAGCAGUGGGGAAUAUUGCACAAUGGGCGCAAGCCUGAUGCAGCCAUGCCGCGUGUAUGAAGAAGGCCUUCGGGUUGUAAAGUACUUUCAGCGGGGAGGAAGGGAGUAAAGUUAAUACCUUUGCUCAUUGACGUUACCCGCAGAAGAAGCACCGGCUAACUCCGUG